rnacentral:rRNA from 1 species
UACGAAGGGGGCGAGCGUUGUUCGGAUUUACUGGGCGUAAAGGGCGCGCAGGCGGCUUUGUUUGUCAGGCGUGAAAGCCCUGGGCUUAACCUGGGAAUUGCAGUCGAUACUACUCAGCUAGAGUAUGGGAGAGGGCAGUGGAAUUCCCGGUGUAGCGGUGAAAUGCGUAGAUAUCGGAAGGAACAUCAGUGGCGAAAGCGACUUCCUGGACCAGUACCGACGUUCAGGCACGAAAGCGUGGGGAGCAAACAGG